GUUUUUGCAGUAAACAGAAAUCCAUAUUACGUGAGUUUUCGUGUGUGUAUUUAGUGUGUAUAACCAGGCCUGAACCAACAAUUGGUAUGAGAGCGAAGGUUAAAUAAGGGCCGUUUUGAGAGUCGACUUUCGAAGAUAGGAGUAGCCUUCGGGUGCGGGCUGCAAGAGCAGCAGGAGCAAGGUGAGUCGACAAUCGCAGCGUGUUUGGCUGCCGGUUCGCGUCACAACUAGGGGGUGUUGUUGCUACACACAAAUCAUAGGAGGCUAGUAACAACAGAAGACAGAGACCGGGAGGUGGUUCGUGUCAACCGUUGUCGUGUGGAGAGUACCGGUUUGGAUGACGGGGUGACGGGUGAACAUCGGUGUGUCUCGUGGCUGUUAGUUGUGAUUAACGUGGAAGAAAAGGCUGUAGCGAUCAGAGCUUACCGGUGUGCAGUGAUCGGAGGUGAUAGAUCAGCAGUGAUCGGAGAGAACUAGGUGAUCGCAAGUCGGUGGUUUAGAGGGUUAUCGUUCUAGCGGGUCAAGAGGGGGUAGUGGAGACGAGUCGAGAUUCAGGCCAAAUCAGCGGACUUGUCAACCGAGUUUGUUGAUCGAAGAACGAAGAAGGGAUCGUGUUUUUAUUUGUCAGAUACUCUUUCUAGCCUAGGAGAAGAAUUGCAAGGGGUGCAGAAUUCUUUGGAUAGAAAAACCAACGGGUGUAGCACCGUAGAAACGAAACAGCAGGUGGCUGAGAUAUUCGUUUAGCGACUCGAAGACGGUACAGGUGGUAGGCGUCUAGUUGGUUGGUUAUACGCAAGGUGUGCUUAUCAAGGAAGAGCUUGAUAGAAUAGUGAAAUCACGAUCAGGGGGUUGAACCGAGACAGCUUUGGACGUGAUCGAAGUGAAGGUCGGGUGUCCGGGAAAAAUCGAUAUAACUCGAGGUUAAGGUUAUUUUGACGGAAACACUGCAGUGAAGAAUGGUGUGAACAAACCGAUUAAGGGGGUGAUUGUUGGGUUAAUCAGUUUGUUUACGAGUCAAGGGUCGGCGGGUCAAACGGGUCGGCAGCUUGGCGGUCAAGAGACUAGAUGGUCCAUAGGUUAAAAGGUUUUAACCGUGCAAUUUUGGACAUGAAAUCUUUGAGAGCUUUUGCUGCAAAUUAUGUGUUGACCGAAUAAGUAGGAGAGUACGUGGGUUUCCUCCUUAGCUUGAGGAUCAAGUUUAUUUGCUUCUUAUUUAAUGUAAAUUCUGAAAUUAGUGAAGUUAGUUUUUGCAGUA
rnacentral:lncRNA from 1 species